UACAAAGAUCAUAUUGUUUCGAUGCCCAUAUGAAGUUGGUGGUUCAUGCAGACCCAAGGUGCACUGACAGAAGAUAUCAGAGGAGCAGAGGAAAAUGCAAGUGUGUAUGUGUGAAAAAUUAUUGGUUUAACUCAAGGAUGCUGAGGAAAUCCUCGAAGGCAUAAAGACCACACAGACACUUACUUUUUUAUGUUUUUUCUUCGCAGCUGAUGGCAAGCUCCUUUCUUGCUAAUUGUGAUUUCUUUUGUACAUGGCCUCUCACCAGA